rnacentral:sRNA from 1 species
UUUUUUCAGUUUUUUU